rnacentral:tRNA from 1 species
GCUUUGUUGGUAAAGCGCUAGUCUAGCAUACAAGAGUUCUGGGUUCAAAUCCCAG